rnacentral:rRNA from 1 species
CUGCUGCCUCCCGUAGGAGUCUGGUCCGUGUCUCAGUACCAGUGUGGGGGACCUUCCUCUCAGAACCCCUAUCCAUCGUGGACUUGGUGAGCCGUUACCUCACCAACUAUCUAAUGGAACGCAUGCCCAUCUAUCAGCGAUAAUUCUUUAACAAAUAUUUCCAUGUGGAACCCCUGUUUUAUGCGGUAUUAGUCCGACUUUCGUCCGGGUUACGUUUCCCCUUCCUGAUAGGUAGGUUGUCAUACGCGUUACUCACCCGUCGCGCCGGUCCG